rnacentral:rRNA from 1 species
GUCCACGCCGUAAACGAUGGGCACUAGAUGCCGGGUCUAUAGACGGAUUCGGUGUCGCAGCUAACGCAUUAAGUGCCCCGCCUGGGGAGUACGGCCGCAAGGCUGAAACUCAAAGGAAUUGACGGGGGCCCCGCACAAGCGGUGGAGCAUGUGGUUUAAUUCGAAGCAACGCGAAGAACCUUACCUAGGCUUGACAUGCUAGUGAAAGCCCCUGGAAACAGGGGCCCUCCUUCGGGACACUAGCACAGGUGCUGCAUGGCUGUCGU